UGCAUUGUCCAGAUGGGUCCUAAGUC
rnacentral:piRNA from 1 species